rnacentral:tRNA from 1 species
GCCAGAUUGCCCGAGUGGCCAAAGGGAGCGGACUGUAAAUCCGCCGGCUCAGCCUUCGAAGGUUCAAAUCCUUCAUCUGGCACCA